UGACAGAGUUUUGGCAGUCAGUGGUUUCAGCAUCGGCCUGCUAAACCAAAGGUUGAGAAUUCAAUCCUUGAGGGGACCAUUUAGGGAACUGGGGUAAAAAUCUGUCUGGGGAUUGGUCCUACUUU